rnacentral:rRNA from 1 species
UCCUGGCUCAGGACGAACGCUGGCGGCGUGCUUAACACAUGCAAGUCGAACGGUAAGGCUCCAGCUUGCUGGGGUACACGAGUGGCGAACGGGUGAGUAACACGUGGGUGACCUGCCCUGCACUUCGGGAUAAGCCUGGGAAACUGGGUCUAAUACCGGAUAGGACCGCACCGUGAGGGUGUGGUGGAAAGUUUUUUCGGUGUGGGAUGGGCCCGCGGCCUAUCAGCUUGUUGGUGGGGUAAUGGCCUACCAAGGCGGCGACGGGUAGCCGGCCUGAGAGGGUGGACGGCCACAUUGGGACUGAGACACGGCCCAGACUCCUACGGGAGGCAGCAGUGGGGAAUAUUGCACAAUGGGCGGAAGCCUGAUGCAGCGACGCCGCGUGGGGGAUGACGGCCUUCGGGUUGUAAACUCCUUUCACCAUCGACGAAGGGUUUCUGACGGUAGAUGGAGAAGAAGCACCGGCUAACUACGUGCCAGCAGCCGCGGUAAUACGUAGGGUGCGAGCGUUGUCCGGAAUUACUGGGCGUAAAGAGCUCGUAGGUGGUUUGUCGCGUCGUCUGUGAAAUUCCGGGGCUUAACUCCGGGCGUGCAGGCGAUACGGGCAUAACUUGAGUACUGUAGGGGAGACUGGAAUUCCUGGUGUAGCGGUGAAAUGCGCAGAUAUCAGGAGGAACACCGGUGGCGAAGGCGGGUCUCUGGGCAGUAACUGACGCUGAGGAGCGAAAGCAUGGGGAGCGAACAGGAUUAGAUACCCUGGUAGUCCAUGCCGUAAACGGUGGGCGCUAGGUGUGGGUUUCCUUCCACGGGAUCCGUGCCGUAGCUAACGCAUUAAGCGCCCCGCCUGGGGAGUACGGCCGCAAGGCUAAAACUCAAAGGAAUUGACGGGGGCCCGCACAAGCGGCGGAGCAUGUGGAUUAAUUCGAUGCAACGCGAAGAACCUUACCUGGGCUUGACAUAUACAGGAUCGCGCCAGAGAUGGUGUUUCCCUUGUGGCUUGUAUACAGGUGGUGCAUGGUUGUCGUCAGCUCGUGUCGUGAGAUGUUGGGUUAAGUCCCGCAACGAGCGCAACCCUUGUCUUAUGUUGCCAGCACGUUGUGGUGGGGACUCGUAAGAAACUGCCGGGGUUAACUCGGAGGAAGGUGGGGAUGACGUCAAAUCAUCAUGCCCCUUAUGUCCAGGGCUUCACACAUGCUACAAUGGUCGGUACAGUGGGUUGCCAGUCCGUGAGGGCGAGCUAAUCCCGCAAAGCCGGUCUCAGUUCGGAUCGGGGUCUGCAACUCGACCCCGUGAAGUCGGAGUCGCUAGUAAUCGCAGAUCAGCAACGCUGCGGUGAAUACGUUCCCGGGCCUUGUACACACCGCCCGUCACGUCAUGAAAGUCGGUAACACCCGAAGC